rnacentral:misc_RNA from 1 species
UUUGGCGACUCCGCUGGGGAGCGAUUUGCAAUUAUUGCACAGAGACAAACUGCUGGCGAUUGGCGUCCUUAUCGCCAAUCAUAGUCAGGGCUAUGGAGGAAAAGACAGCAAAGAAGGAGGCACCGGACAAAUCUGAAGUUCAUCCCUUGAACGUGAUCAAGGUCACGAUGGAGGACCUUACAGAGGCAGACCGGAAGGAGAUUGAAGAAGAGAUCGCACGAGAGAUGGAGGAGAAACGGAAUGAAAAGUUGGCUUGUUUUCGGAAGACCAAGAAUGGCGUAUUCAAACAAGCUAGCGGAGCAGGCACUUCCAGCAAGAAGGUAAGUCCGUUUGUCACUUGUGAAGAAUUGGCUCACAUGAUCGAUACUGCUGUAGCUAGCAAAUAUGGGACUGACGUCACAGAGAUAACACACAUGAUUUCUGAGGGAGUGCGUAAUUCUUUUGACACGUUUAGAUCUGAAUUUAGACAAGAUAUGAAUAAUAAUAUGCCUAGACAGAUUCGAUCUAUAGUUCAACAGGUUCAAGGAGAAUUGCAGGGGAAGCGUGUAGAAAAUCUUUCAUAUGCGCCUAGUUGUAACGGAGCAGCUGCGCAUAAUAAUGUAAACCAAACUGUUAAUGAGAGGGGCGAGGAUUCAGUAAUGAACUUUAAUCUACAGCAGCCAUAUUAUCAGAGUAUGGCAUAUGGGCCACCUAUUCCGCCUAUAGGGAACAGGAGCCCACAAGGAUUUGUUCCAAAUGAUUACAAGAAUGGGGGGCAGGGAGUACUGCUAUCAGCAUCGGGAAUCACACAUGCAGCAUGUGAGGGUGAGAGAUCUGAGGGUGUUAGAGAGCAAGUGGCAAAGACUCUCAGGGAAUUUGGUUUUGAGCCUAAAGGGCAUACUAGGUC